AUUGGAGAACUUGUUUUUAUUCCUGUCAUGUGUAGCAAACAUUAUUAUUCAAUAAAGUACAAUGUUUUGAAACAUUCUUAAAUAUUUCACAAUGGUUCUGCACACUGUAUGGCUUUUGUCUGAGGAAUAACAAUGCAGAAGCUUUGCAUGAUAUUAGUUCUACCUACACUGUUGGCAGAGAACCACCUCUAAAGGUUUUAACAAUUAUGGAUCAAAAAACAAACAACGAUAUUCUGUAGACAGAGAAAAUUUCACAAUCAAUAUUGGCCUUGCGUGCCCUCAUAAAUACUACAGAUCUUUUGAACGCUGUUAUAGAUUCUCUGCACGUCAGUGUUGAUCCGGCGUUACAAUGGCCAACAUUGCACCGUAAACACUCUCUUAGAAAUAUAAUGCACCUGCAACACAGUCAAAAAUUUCCCCAACAGCUGUUAUAGUCUCUUUCUGAAAGAAAUGUUAUUAGAUAGCUAUAAU